AGAAGGUUACAAUCUGAGGGAUCUGAAAAACUAAAGGCAUUCUUUCCUACUUCAGUGCGGACACGAGGUACACAAAAACAUAACAUGUCAUUCGAGCGCAGAACAUAACGGCUUUCUGAUCUCUGAAGUAAACUGGAUAAAUAGGUCGGCACCAGACCGAUAAGAGACAUAGACAGACAGA